AUACGUAGGGGGCGAGCGUUGUCCGGAAUGAUUGGGCGUAAAGGGCGCGUAGGCGGCUUUGCAAGUCAGUAGUGGAAGUCCAUUUUUCAAGGAUGGAAGUGCUACAGAAACUGCGGAGCUUGAGUGCAGGAGAGGUUAUCGGAAUUCCCGGUGUAGCGGUGAAAUGCGUAGAGAUCGGGAGGAACACCAGUGGCGAAGGCGGGUAACUGGACUGCAGCUGACGCUGAGGCGCGAAAGUGUGGGGAGCAAACAGGAUUAGAUACCCUGGUAGUCCACACUGUAAACGAUGAAUGCUAGGUGUAGGAGGUAUCGACCCCUUCUGUGCCGCAGUAAACACAGUAAGUAUUCCGCCUGGGGAGUACGGUCGCAAGAUUAAAACUCAAAUGAAUUGACGGGG
rnacentral:rRNA from 1 species